rnacentral:rRNA from 1 species
GACGAACGCUGGCGGCGUGCUUAACACAUGCAAGUCGAACGGAAAGGCCCUGCUUUUGUGGGGUGCUCGAGUGGCGAACGGGUGAGUAACACGUGAGUAACCUGCCCUUGACUUUGGGAUAACUUCAGGAAACUGGGGCUAAUACCGGAUAGGAGCUCCUGCUGCAUGGUGGGGGUUGGAAAGUUUCGGCGGUUGGGGAUGGACUCGCGGCUUAUCAGCUUGUUGGUGGGGUAGUGGCUUACCAAGGCUUUGACGGGUAGCCGGCCUGAGAGGGUGACCGGCCACAUUGGGACUGAGAUACGGCCCAGACUCCUACGGGAGGCAGCAGUGGGGAAUAUUGCACAAUGGGCGGAAGCCUGGUGCAGCAACGCCGCGUGCGGGAUGACGGCCUUCGGGUUGUAAACCGCUUUCGCCUGUGACGAAGCGUGAGUGACGGUAAUGGGUAAAGAAGCGCCGGCUAACUACGUG